rnacentral:tRNA from 1 species
GUCGCGAUGCCAGAGUGGUUAAUGGGUGUGCCUGCUAUCUCCUAUUAGGAGUGCAGUCACAGCACAUGUCUUCGGACGCGCAGGUUCGAAUCCUGCUCGCGACG